rnacentral:rRNA from 1 species
AUGAACGCUGGCGGCGUGCCUAAUACCUGCAAGUCGAGCGCACAGACGAGGAGCUUGCUCCUCUGACGUUAGCGGCGGACGGGUGAGUAACACGUGGAUAACCUACCUAUAAGACUGGGAUAACUUCGGGAAACCGGAGCUAAUACCGGAUAAUAUAUUGAACCGCAUGGUUCAAUGGUGAAAGACGGUUUUGCUGUCACUUAUAGAUGGAUCCGCGCCGCAUUAGCUAGUUGGUAAGGUAACGGCUUACCAAGGCAACGAUGCGUAGCCGACCUGAGAGGGUGAUCGGCCACACUGGAACUGAGACACGGUCCAGACUCCUACGGGAGGCAGCAGUAGGGAAUCUUCCGCAAUGGGCGAAAGCUUGACGGAGCAACGCCGCGUGAGUGAUGAAGGUCUUCGGAUCGUAAAACUCUGUUAUUAGGGAAGAACAAAUGUGUAAGUAACUAUGCACGUCUUGACGGUACCUAAUCAGAAAGCCACGGCUAACUACGUG